rnacentral:rRNA from 1 species
UACGGGGGGGGCAAGCGUUGUUCGGAAUUACUGGGCGUAAAGGGCUCGUAGGCGGCCAACUAAGUCGGAUGUGAAAUCCCCAGGCUCAACUUGGGAACUGCAUCCGAUACUGGAUGGCUUGAAUCCGGGAGAGGGAUGCAGAAUUCCAGGUGUAGCGGUGAAAUGCGUAGAUAUCUGGAGGAAUACCGGUGGCGAAGGCGGCAUCCUGGACCGGCAUUGACGCUGAUGCGCGAAAGCCAGGGGAGCAAACGGG